UGGCUCUGGAGAAGGCUGCGUGGCAAGAGGCGGCCAGUGAUAGCGUUCUGCCUCUUGAUGACCCUCUCUGCGAUGGCUGUCACCCGCUUUCCCCCACAGCGCCCAUCUGCUGGCCCAGACCCUGGUCCCAUGGAGCCUCAGGGGGUAACUGGCACCCCUGCAACCCGUAUCCGGCAGGCUUUGAGCUCCAGCCGGAGGCAGCGGGCAAGAAACAUGGGCUUCUGGAGAGGCCGUGCUUUGCCCAGGAACUCCAUCUUGGUCUGUGCUGAGGAGCAAGGCCAUAGAGCAAGAGUGGACAGAAGCAGGGAGUCCCUAGGAGGGUACCUCAGGCAUCCAGGAAGGGUCAGGAGGGACAUUACUUUGUCAGGACAUCCAAGACUCAGUACUCAGCAUGUUGUGCUCCUGAGGGAGGAUGAGGUCGGAGAUCCAGGAGCCAAAGACCUGGGUCACCCCCAGCAUGGCGGUCCCAUCCAAGAGACACAGAGUGAGAUGGUUGCCCUGGUCGGUCCACUCCCAGGGAGCGACGUGGCAGCUUUACGGGCUUGGAGAGCUACUGCUGGGCUGACAUUCUGGCCCCAUACAGCAGAAGGCAGGGAUCUGCUGGCAGCUGAGAACAGAGCCUUGACUGGUGGGCGACAAGCAGAGGAUCCCACCUUGGCCUCAGGGGCUCAUCAGUGGCCUGGCUCUGUUGAGAAGCUGCAAGGGUCAGUAUGGUGUGACGCUGAGACGCUGUUGAGCAGCUCUAGGACUGAUGGGCAGGCUCCCCCAUGGCUGACAGACCACGACGUGCAGAUGCUCCGGCUGUUGGCGCAGGGGGAGGUGGGGGGCAAAGCCAGGGUCCCCGCCCAUGGGCAGGUGCUACAGGUUGGCUUCUCCGCUGAGGGUGCCCUUCAGGGCAUGUCCUCUCCCAGGCUCAGCCAACUCUGCUCCCAGGGGCUCUGUGGCCUGAUCAAGAGGCCUGGGGACCUGCCUGAGGUCCUGUCCUUCCACGUAGAUCGCGUGCUGGGGCUGCGUCGGAGCCUACCUGCUGUGGCCCGCCGCUUUCACAGCCCCCUCCUGCCCUACCGCUACACAGACGGUAGAGCGAGGCCUGUCAUCUGGUGGGCGCCCGAUGUGCAGCAUCUGAGUGACCCGGAUGAGGAUCAGAACUCUCUGGCCUUGGGCUGGCUGCAGUACCAGGCCCUGCUGGCACACGGCUGCAGCUGGCCAGGCCAGGCCCCAUGCCUGGGCAUCCAUCAUACCGAGUGGGCACGCCUGGCGCUCUUCGACUUCCUGUUGCAGGUAGGUGGGGUUGGGCAGUGGGGUUAGAGAGCUGCAGAGGUAGGGGGUUCUGGGUGGAGAGGCCUGAAUUGCCCACCUGAGGUUGGAUGGUGACUCUCCCCCAGGUCCUGGUUUUUUGACCACCAAGCACCUGUUUUUGUAAUUUUCCUUCCUCUAUUUAUUUAUCCAGUGGUUACCAGAGCCAGCUCAUCAGUUCACAAGAGCUGAUGGCUAAAAUUUUCAGGAAUUUUGUACCUAGUUGUGAAACACAGGCAUUAUGAAAAAAUUGAGUUGUAGAAACAAUAAUAAAUUAUAUUAGCAAC